UCUUGUUUAAUAGGAUUCGCA
rnacentral:piRNA from 1 species